rnacentral:lncRNA from 1 species
CUGGCGGCCGUCCCUUGGCAGCGGGGUCUGCGCGGGGCACUCUGGUUCCGGCUCUCCUGGACCAAUGACCUUGUGCUUUUUGCUUCUCCGUCUCCAGUGGCUGGCAAAGCGUCGCGUACACAGGAGAUGUUUCAUAAAUGCCUCUUGAACAAAUGAAUGCAUCAAGGAAGGCAUGAAGGAGUAAACUGGGUCUGGUAUUCAGGCUCGCACUCCAGCUGGUGGAGUAUCUGCGGGCGCCCAGACGCAGGCCGGCCUGGGGCUCAGCCGGCACACCCCCAGGCAGCAGAGAAGGUGACGCUGGGCCUUCAGUGACAGGACCAGAUGUUCUUCCAAGGGAGAUCCCGACGGGUUCUGGAUCAAAGUCCUGCAGGCCUUGCCUACUUCUUCCGAAGACAGGACUCCGGGCAGAGGUGCUGCUUCAAGUCCAUGCCCAUGGCCACCGUGUAUGUGCCCGCCGCGUCUCACUAGGUUACCCGCAGAGCCGAGCGUGCCCAUUUUACAAGGAAGGAGAUGGAGGAGGCCAGCGUGGCAGGAGAAAGGCUGGUCACUGAGUCAUGGGGCCACCCAGCGUGAGAUUCUGCUGACGGUUACUUUCUGCGGAGACCCCGUUCUCCUUUGAACUUGGUGACACUUCUCUCUCCCCCUGGGUGCUUCUGCUUCUCUGUCCAUCCCCUUGGGUGUUGGUGGUCUCCGUCUUCCUCGUUCCUCUUCUUGCCAUCUGGGUUCUGCUGCAGCAAUCUCGAGAAGCCCCAAGGCUUGCUCCACCGUCUGUCUCCCCGCUGAAGACCAGGAAACCUGAGCUCCUCACGGGACUUCACCGUGAUGCGACCCUGCAGAGAGGUAGGAGCGACGCUCUUGGUGAGCCAGGACUGGGCCUGUCUCACGGGGGGAGGACGGAUGGAUGUGGGAACUAAACAAGUUGCUGUGAGUGUUGGCGAAACAAUAGCCUUUUGACUCAGGAAACAGAAGUGAAUUGGAACCUGGUGGCCAUAGAGUUUUAUUUGCCCAUUUCCCGGCUUAUCGUGGACCUUCGUAAAUGUUAGUUGAAUCUGUUGUAGAUCAGUUGGUUAUGCAUAUGGCUUUUCCCCCCUCUCCUGCUAGUUGAAGGGAUGAGAGUGCAGCUCUUGUUGUCUUCAGGUUUUGAAAAAGGUGGGUGAGCAAAAUAGUACUUACUAAAUGACGAGCUAAACACAUGAACGAGACAGUUAGCACAGAGGAAUUGAGAUCGCGGGACCUGUGAGUGUGUUCUGUUGGAAACUUAAAGUUAGUUGGGGAAAAAAAAAUCAGUUUACUAUACAAUCUCAUUUGUUUCCCACAAAGUCGAGAACAUCCCUUUGCAGCUAAUUCGCACAAUUGGUGGAAUCUAGAGAUUCCAAGGUUCAUGAAGGUAGCAGCAACAGGCCGAAAAGACAAAAUCAUGGUGGAUGUGUGCCCAGGUUUUUAAAAAAAAAAAAAAAAAAAAAAAUUUUCUUCAUUGUGGUAAAAUACAUGUAAAAUGUACCGUCUUAAGCAUUUUUAAAUGUAAAGUUCAGUGGAUUCACUGCAUUCAAGUUGUGUAGCCAUCACUGUCCUCCAUCUCCAGAAAGCUUGUCAUCUCGCAAAGCUAAAACUCUGUCCCUACUGUAGGACAACUUCCUGCCCCACCCCACGCCCCUUCGCCGCUGGCACCCGCCGAGCCACCCUCUGUGUCUGGGAAUCUGUCUCCUCUAGGUGCCUCCUGGAAGUGGAAUCAGGCAGUAUUUGUCUUUUCAUGAUUGGCGUAUUUUACUGAGCGUCCUGCCCUUAAGGUCUGUCUCGGCUGGAGCAUGUGUCGGAACUUCCUUCCUUUCUGGGCUGAUGAAUAUUCCGUGACAUGCAUACGGCCUGCGCCCCCGGAGCUCACCAUCAGCCUCAAGCCGGAAUUGGUUUGAGGCCUUCUUUUGUGUGCUAAACGUGCGUGCUGUCGCUUUCUCUCUCUCUCUCUCUUUUUUUUUAAAUUACAUUAGUCACCAUACAGAAGAUUAUUAGUUUUCUUGUGUUUUUUUAAGAUUUUAU